CCUACGGGAGGCAGCAGUGAGGAAUAUUGGUCAAUGGGCGGAAGCCUGAACCAGCCAAGUAGCGUGCAGGAUGACGGCCCUACGGGUUGUAAACUGCUUUUAUACGGGAAUAACGCGCCUUACGUGUAGGGCUUUGCAUGUACCGUAUGAAUAAGGACCGGCUAAUUCCGUGCCAGCAGCCGCGGUAAUACGGAAGGUCCGGGCGUUAGCCGGAUUUAUUGGGGUUAAAGGGAGCGUAGGCCGCAUGUCAAGCGUGCUGUGAAAUGUCCGGGCUCAACCCGGGCCGUGCAGCGCGAACUGGCAUGCUUGAGUCCGCGGAAGGCAGGCAGAAUUCGUCGUGUAGCGGUGAAAUGCUUAGAUAUGACGAGGAACCCCGAUUGCGAAGGCGGCUCGCUGCAGCGGAACUGACGCUGAUGCGCGAAAGCGCGGGUAUCGAACAGGAUUAGAUACCCUGGUAGUC
rnacentral:rRNA from 1 species